GACAGAGGGUGCAAACGUUGCUCGGAAUUACUGGGCGUAAAGCGCGUGUAGGCGGGCCGAUAAGUCAGACGGGAAAUCCCUGAGCUCAACUCAGGAACUGCAUCUGAAACUGCCGGUCUAGAGUGGUGGAGAGGGAAGCGGAAUUCCUGGUGUAGAGGUGAAAUUCGUAGAUAUCAGGAGGAACACCGGUGGCGAAGGCGACUUCCUGGACACCAACUGACGCUGAGACGCGAAAGCGUGGGGAGCAAACAGG
rnacentral:rRNA from 1 species